UACGGAGGGGGCUAGCGUUGUUCGGAAUUACUGGGCGUAAAGCGCACGUAGGCGGCUUUGUAAGUUAGAGGUGAAAGCCCAGGGCUCAACCCUGGAAUUGCCUUUAAGACUGCAUCGCUUGAAUCAUGGAGAGGUGAGUGGAAUUCCGAGUGUAGAGGUGAAAUUCGUAGAUAUUCGGAAGAACACCAGUGGCGAAGGCGGCUGACUGGUCCGGUUCUGACGCUGAGGCGCGAAAGCGUGGGGAGCAAACAGG
rnacentral:rRNA from 1 species